UGGUGGAGUGAUUUGUCUGGUUAAUUCCGUUAACGAACGAGACCUCAGCCUGCUAACUAGUCACCCGAACAUCCGUGUUUGGGCCGACUUCUUAGAGGGACUAUCGGCGCUUAGCCGGCUGGAAGCUUGAGGCAAUAACA
rnacentral:rRNA from 1 species